rnacentral:rRNA from 1 species
GACUCUCGACAACGGAUAUCUCGGCUCUCGCAUCGAUNAAGAACGUAGUGAAAUGCGAUACUUGGUGUGAAUUGCAGAAUCCCGUGAACCAUCGAGUCUUUGAACGCAAGUUGCGCCCGAAGCCGUCAGGCCGAGGGCACGUCUGCCUGGGCGUCU